UUUGUUGUAAUUUAGAUAUUUUGUUAUUAUUAUUUUUAAAUAAUUUACCAAUUAAUACCGUUCUCUUUUAGUUAAUAUUAAAGCACUACCAUGUUGCCCAGUUCUUAGGUUUCUAGUAUAUAUAAUAUACAUGGAUAACUGUGUAUAACUCUGUUUUCUUUUGAUUGAUUUUUAGUCAUUUCAUUUCAGCUCCGUUUUUUUACCUUGCUUUAAAGUUAUUUUUGUUCUUCUAGAGAGUAUAUCACUUUUAUUUUUUCAGACUGAUGAUUGGAAGGUUAUGGUUUGUUGAGAAAAGAACAAUGAUAAGAAGCAGAGAGAUUGAGUCAUGUUAUGAUUGAAUCAAAAGAUUGUACUGAGUAUUUUGUGUCUUGGAAAAGAGCUAUAUAUAGAUACUGCAAGUCAUGUUUUUGUUGUCUUUGCUUCAACUGCUAAUCAGGGAAUACAUUUAUUUCCAAGAAAGUUGACAACAAGAAGAAAAAGAAACUUAAGAAGGUGGAAGAUAAGAUGCUUUGAUGGGGUGGUCGUGAUGAUGCAAAGUUGUCUAUUCCAGCUACUGUUGUUCUUCGUUAUAUGUUCAUGCCUGCUGAAAUGAGGCAAAAUGCAUUGCUUGGAGUGGCUACAAAUGAUGAUGGAAAGCAAGUGGAGGAAGAUGCUAGAUAUCCACCAUGGGUGCAAUGUUGCCUGAAAUCUCAUUAUCUGGAUAAAUAUGAUAUUUGGGGAAGUCGACAGUAUCGAAUAUUUGGCACUAGAUUGGUGGUUAUUAGGAUAGGUACUCAUUGUCUUGUAUGUUGGUUGGAAAUUGUAUAGCAUGUUAGCUUUACCAUGUGAUUUAAGAUUUGUUGGUUUAAGUUUUCAGGUCUUUGUCUCCUGGGAGCUAUAAUAUAAUUUGAUGACAGUGUUGAAUGUUUUAAACUAAUUUGUGGAUUGUUAAUACAA